rnacentral:tRNA from 1 species
UGCCCCGUGGCUUAGUUGGUUACGGCGUCCGACUGUUAAUUGUAGUUGGCAUCGGAAGAUCGAGAGUUCAAGUCUCUCCGGGGCAG